rnacentral:lncRNA from 1 species
GAGAUUCAUUCUUGGAUAGGUACUAAUUUUGAUCAUAUCUAGGGUGCAAAUUGAAUUUUUUUUUUCUUAAGAUUGAUUAUGAGGAUGAAGAGAAUGUGUGUGCAAAAUUUGGGGUCAUACAAAUGCCAAAAAUAUGGUUUUCUAGAGGUGUGGUUGCAUUAUACUACUAUACAACCGUUGCAUUAGAUCAUUUUCCAUAUAUA